rnacentral:lncRNA from 1 species
GUGUAAUAAUAUAGUCAACACGAUGCAAUAAUACUUCUCUCCUUUAUUUCUCACAAAGAUUAAUGCAGUGGACAACCAGAAGUCCACUGACUAGAAACACACCGAUGCCUAAAUUUAUAUCUGUUGCAACUCAGACAUCGCCAAAAGUUUUAAAAAAAAACAUUCUUUACAGUGCAAGAAUAAAAGGUACAACAGAAAACAGAAAUAUUGCCUGAAAUAGGGCUUUUAUGGGGUUACUAUGGUAUUGCGUUCCUCAUCAGAAACUCCAGUGCGCACUCUGCAAAAAGAAAUGAACCUGCAAAAAUAUACACUAAAAUCAGAAUUCGAGUCUGAAGUAUUUGAAAUACACAUCAGUCAUCCUAAAUCCACAUAAUUUACAUUCUUUUUACUAUGUGUUAAAAGGCAUUGAAAACUUUUCAGAAAGACUCAUAACCAUAUUGAAUUACUUCAGAGAAUGAAUUCAGAUAUAGAUAUGAAGCUUUCCAUUCUAAGUUCAAAGACAUCUCAUGGAACUGCAGUACUCUACAUAAAUGAAAGCCCCUUUCCUACUUUCAUGGAGGAAAGAGAAACAACUAAAAAAUGGGUUAAGAAUUUACUUUCAUGGAGGCAUGGAUUACGUUAAUAUAAACAUAAGCUAUUUGUAUAAAAAAUAGACAGAGA